AAAACUAUACUUUCAGGGACCAUUUCUGUAGUUGUUACUACAGAAGCUUCUCUGAACGUGGAGAGCACCGAAACCAUGGGGAGGGGGCACAGCAUUCUCUCCUGAGCAUGAUGCAGGCUUUGGUGUUGCUUUUUUAACUGCUAAUGGCCACUGAUGAUCAUUCUUCUCUUUCUUUGGGAGGGUGAGAGAGAAGGGAUGCAGUCUAAAUGGC